AGGCCUGUAGAGAGAGAGACAGGGUCUGAUCCCCAGCCUCCAUGACAGCUGUUGAUCAGCCAUUGCCUCUCUCUCCUCACUUCG
rfam:Myotis davidii contig207271, whole genome shotgun sequence.